rnacentral:rRNA from 1 species
UACGUAGGUGGCAAGCGUUGUCCGGAUUUACUGGGCGUAAAGGGCGUGCAGGCGGUCUGUUAAGUGCAGGGUGAAAGCUCCCGGCUCAACUGGGAGAGGUCCUUGCAUACUGGCGGACUUGAGGGGGGUAGAGGAAAGUGGAAUUCCCGGUGUAGUGGUGAUAUGCGUAGAUAUCGGGAGGAACACCUGUGGCGAAGGCGGCUUUCUGGGUCCUACCUGACGCUGAGACGCGAAAGCGUGGGGAGCGAACCGG